UACGUAGGUGGCGAGCGUUGUCCGGAUUUAUUGGGCGUAAAGCGCGCGCAGGCGGUGCGGUAAGUCCGUCGUGAAGUCUCCCGGCUCAACUGGGAGGGUGCGGUGGAGACUGCCGGACUGGAGGCACUCAGAGGCCGGUGGAAUUCCCGGUGUAGUGGUGAAAUGCGUAGAGAUCGGGAGGAACAUCAGUGGCGAAGGCGGCCAUCUGGGACAACACUGACGCUGAAGCACGAAAGCGUGGGGAG
rnacentral:rRNA from 1 species